GAGAGGACUGUAGCACGACGCAAUGAAGAGCCAGAUCGUCCGUCCGCUCCCAGCUCACUUCCCAGUUCUGUUGUGCUGCCCCGUGCACCAACCAUCCAGUAAAGGUUCUGAGGUUAACAUCUCUUUUGCAAGUUUCGUAUAACUUUCGUUGUCACUUUAUUAUCUAUUGAUCCACAUGUUUGUAUUUUAACAGACAUGAGUACUUUAUCAUCUUUCCAGGAAGAAAUUACUAGAGAGAAGAAAACUCAGUUUUACAAGUAGUGACAGUCCAACAUCAUAUUGACACAUCUGGUUUCUCUUUCCACAAGCAGGGUCGAGUGGGGUGAUAUACUAGGCGCUUUCUUCUAAAUUGUACAGAAAGUCCACUGAGUUAUUGUUGUUUGUAUGCCACCUUAGAGCGAAAUAGUACUUCUUUUAAUCAUUUUUUAGGUGAAAUACAAGCAUGUAGCUACCUCACUUAAUUAUUGUACUCACUUGAAGUUUAUGUUGAUACAAUGCACUAUUUAAGUAGUAGAGAAACCUCACAAAUUUAAAUUGAUGAAUGAUAUUUAGGAAAAGAAGUAGGCAUGUUUCAUUAUAAAGGGAAAGUCUUUUUCAAGGCAUAGUGUUUAAUUCAUGAAUGGUUAAACAGUUUAACGGGGACCAACACUGGGUAGCAGGGGAGUGGCAGUGCAUAGAGAUAUAGUGAGGGGAGCGGGGGCGAUGAUGGAGGCGGAGAUGUUUAGAGAGAGAUAUAGAGAGUGGGAGGUUCACCAUGGUGCAAUCGAAAACCAAGGCACACCUUGCUAAGACAAGCACACUUUAAAACAUAGCAAUACUCUGCAUUGUUUGAUGUUGGUAUCAGGACCAGGUACCAUGUGAAGCUCAAGGAAUGGUUGUAGAUCAUUAUGGAUAAACUAAAAAAAAAGAUCAUUAUGGAGUACAUUAUAAACGGCAUUUGGUGUCGGCGGCAUGUCACUACCACUGACAAAGUUCUCUGAAACACGAUUACUAUCAUGUACAAUGCUUUACAGUUCUCUCAUAUUCAAAUGCUAAAAUUCUGUAAUUUCAUAUUUAGUAGUUUCUGCGGUGUGAAAUUCAUGUUUUAUUUUGCUUGUGCAGUUGAAAAUAAAUGUUGGCAAAGAUAUUAAAAUUCAAAUCUGGCUUAUUUUUCUCAAUAUGGGUUCAGAAGGAAAUUGUCGUUGAGCUUCUAUCUAAAGGUAUGUCAGAUUAACAGGUUGCUAUCGCAACUCUUGAUUUGGAGUAAUGCAAAGCAACUGUGGAUCUUGUCGUCGGUACAUCUUGGGUUGUUGUUCUUCCAGAACGAAGGAUUUUUUUCCCUAGAUUGUGCUAUGAAAUAAUGCUUGUAUAACGCCUUGAUCUCUUGGCUACACCAUGCUUUCUGGAGAACACUAUACUUACAGAAGAAUGAUGCUUCUAUAGAAUGUGCCACCAUGAGUUCUGUCAGCUCUUUUAAUUUUGUGUUCACUAUGGACGAAUGAACCAUAUAAUUUGUCAAUUUGAUCAGUACUUGCUGAGUGCUUGCUUUCAUGUUGCAAUCUCAGAUUUAGGCACUUCAUAGCCAUAGAUUAAUUUUGAAUUGUUAUGCUCAGUACACCAAAUGUUGUUCCUAGGUAAUGCACUGUUUGCAACUAAGUUUUGUCUUUAAGCACCAAGGUGUAGUAGUAUGCAUUGAAAUAAAUGGAUCAUUUCUAUCUUUCUGGUGCUCAUAAUAGACUUUUUCAUUUUGAAUUUGUAUGCUUGAAAUUUGAUUAUUUCUAUCAACUGAGAGUGGAAAUGAACUGUACCGUAGGCACUUUUUCAUUAGAUUUCAGCAGCGGCUGAUGGCAGCAACCUCAUGGGCCACACAUCCCCUUCUUUAAUUGCAUGCCCUCACAAAAUGGAUGGGGACUUGGUUCUUUGGUUGUCGCCGCCGGACUCAGUGAAGGACGAAAAAUUGAGAUGAUCUAGUGGAGAAUAGAUGCCACGGGCUGAAGAAAGGAGGCGACGGUUUCAGAGCACACACCUUGAAGCGGAGAGGCGGCAAGGGAGUGCGUCUGGAUGGCAAGAGGGAGCGGGACAAGGCAACAUCACAUGGGAGGCAUGGUCAAAAUCGGCGCCGUAGGAGCAAUCGUGCGCGUGGGGGUCGUACCAGGGAGAAGGAAAAGGAUGGUCGGUUUUCUAGGGCUUUUUUCCUUGCAUCGGGAAAUGGGUUUGGUUGAAAAAAACGAUGAUGUGGGGAGGUUAUGCGAGUGGUGGAUACGUGGGUACCAUUUAAUGUACCAAGUGCGCUUUAAUAGUAGAGAUUAAGAUGUUGAUAUUUUAUUCAUUUUCUUCUUAGCUGAACAUUCUUUAAACCAAAAAUCUAUGAAACUUGUAAUGUAUCAUGGUCGCAAUUUGUGAAGUAGAACUAACUAUCCUUUGACCAAAUACCCUUUGACCAUUCAUCAAUUUUUAUGUACUUGUCGCCCGUGACAACAAAUAUGGAUCAAAUAACUAUGCACUAUGGGCACUAAUAUGUUUACCUUCAAAUGGGUUUGUUACUGUGUUUAGUUACUAUGAUGUUUCAUAUGUUCAUCAGAAAAAAUAAAGGCUUAUUUGCUUGCAUGUGCUUUCUCAUGUUUGUUUGUUUUUUCUUCUGGUUGUUCCUUUUCUAUAAUUGUCACAUAAAGUGAACCGAAACUCAUAUUCUAUAUUUCUGCUGUGUAGAUACCCGUGAGCCCGCUGUUGAACUCGCUAAAAAUGGAGAUAGACAUGGAUUUAACGGUUCUCAUUCAUUUAAAUCUUAGUGAAUUGAUACCAGUUUCCAUUUGGAACUGAGAUAACGAGGAAUCGUUUCCUUCAUGAUACUGCAUGUAUGAGCUUUUUUCUUUCGGUCUAGGCCAAUAUUGUACAAAGUUAUUUCCUAAAAUUAUAUUCGAAGGUGUCUUCUAUGAGAGUAACCAUCUCAAUCUUUUUUCUAUAGUUGUCACAAGGUUCUUGUGCUAAAGUAAAGUGAUUUUUGCUUGGUCAAUAUGUUUUCUUCUGAAUAUUUCAAGAAUGAAUUAGUUUAUGCUGCAGUAGUGAGUCACUGUUAAAAAUAGGGAGAAAGGUGUUAUAAGUGAAAAAUUAUGUAGUAUACUUUUAGCUUCCAAACAUUUGUACUUAUGUUCUAUGCCCAUUUUGAUUUGGACAAAUGUUUGGGAAUCACAGUGGUGAAAAGG
rnacentral:lncRNA from 1 species